GGAAAAGCCAAUCGUCUACGCACCGAUGCAGAGAGCGAUUCGAUGGACGUUCGACUCAAUGAGUGACUCGGAGCUUUUGACACAAAAACAUUUGAAACGAUACGAGGCAAAAGUCUUAGCUCUUGCGGAGGAUAUUGCUGACAAAGAGAAACGAAGCGUUAAGGAGAAAGCUGCAUUAGAAAAUUUGAAAAUCGAGUUAUCCGAAAGAAAGAAGCAAAUUGAAAUCCUUCGUAAACAAGUUUCGAAUAUUGAAACGAAGCGCAGAAGAUCUGAAAACGAAGCCCAACGGGCCCGAGACGAAGCCUCUAGACGGAAGAAAAAAAGAGUGUGAUGGAUGUUUGCAACCAUUUUUACAUUUGGACUGGUAUCUCCUGGUCUCAUCAUCAACAAAGGAGAACUGCAAAAAGCUGAAAGAGACUGUGAUGCUCAUCAAAGUAACGCCAACGAGCGUCGUCAAACGUCAUUCAAAUUCGAAAGCAAUUUGCGUGAUAUUUCUCUCCGCCAACGGGUCACGGAACUGUCAAUCGUGGGGACGGAAGCCAGUCUCACCUCGGUUCGAUUUGUCCUCGAUAAAUUGAAAAGCCAAGACCCGGCCAUGAGAGAAUUUGGUGAUCAAAUUCGAAACAUUACGACCUAUCUAACUGUUUGUCAAGGAAAGGUGGAAGUGAUUUAUUCCCAGCAAAAAAUUGGUCCUCUUUGAGCCGCUUCUGAAAUCAAUCGACCAACUUGUCUUGUUCUUGGCGGUUCUUGGAAUCUAACGAUGAGACCACGUCUCUCUUGGCCGAAAAGAGUAUCGUUGAAAAAAUACGGAAAUACAGGAAGAGGCAUUGAUGCGACGCUUAAAAA